GGAUAGAUCAUGACACUGAAAGAUAAAAAAUGGAUGAAGAGGGAAGAGAGAAAGGAGGAGGAGGGAGAAGAGGAAUGCUGGCAAUGGAGAAGAAGGAGAAGAUCAAUUGGGGAGGAAGAAGGAUGAGGAGAAAGGGGAGGUGGUGGAGGAAUGGGCGGAGGUUAAGGAAGCCACUAUGAAGAAGGAGAAAUGGAUGAAGAGGAAAGGGAGAAGGAACGAGGAGGAAGGAUGAGGGAGAAAGAGGAUCACUAGUAGAGAAGGAGGAGAUCAAUC
rnacentral:lncRNA from 1 species